GACGGAGGAUGCAAGCGUUAUCCGGAAUGAUUGGGCGUAAAGCGUCCGCAGGUGGCAGUUCAAGUCUGCUGUCAAAGACCGGGGCUUAACUUCGGAAAGGCAGUGGAAACUGAACAGCUAGAGUAUGGUAGGGGCAGAGGGAAUUCCUGGUGUAGCGGUGAAAUGCGUAGAGAUCAGGAAGAACAUCGGUGGCGAAGGCGGGUCUCUGGGCAUCUCCUGACGCUGAGGCGCGAAAGCGUGGGGAGCAAACGGG
rnacentral:rRNA from 1 species